rnacentral:rRNA from 1 species
AUUGAACGCUGGCGGCAGGCCUAACACAUGCAAGUCGAACGAGUGGCGGACGGGUGAGUAAUGUCUGGGAAACUGACUGAUGGAGGGGGAUAACUACUGGAAACGGUAGCUAAUACCGCAUACCAUCAGGGUUGCCCAGAUGGGAAUAGCUAGUUGGUUGGGUAAAGGCUCACCAAGGCGACGAUCCCCAGCUGGUCUGAGAGGAUGAACAGCCACACUGGAACUGAGACACGGUCCAGACUCCGACGGGAGGCAGCAGUGGGGAAUAUUGCACAAUGGGCGCAAGCCUGAUGCAGCAAUGCCGCGUGUAUGAAGAAGGCCUUCGGGUUGUAAAGUACUUUCAGCGGGGAGGCGUUACCCGCAGAAGAAGCACCGGCUAACUCCGUGUCAGCAGCCGCGGUAAUUC